CCAGAUAGCCAUACUCAAAAUGGAGGCACUCUCCAGGCCUUGUGAAGGGGAAAGUGACCCCAUUUUGGGUGUUUCAGUGUGG
rnacentral:pre_miRNA from 1 species